GCCCAUUCCACUGGGUAGUAGCCACAGUACUCCAGCUGGCGUUUCAGAGUGGUGUGGCAAUACUGAGCAGCCUUCUCAAUCAUGUCCAGGUGCUGGUAGACUUGUGCCAGAUACAAAGGCUCCCAAACCUUCUAACCAGAUCUGGAGAAUAUUCUGGCAAGACUAGAGCUAUUCCUGCCCACAAAGCAACUGAAAUGACACGUCUAGGGACAGAUACCUGACUAUACACCAGCUGCUGUGACACAGCGGGUCAGCAAAGGCCCUUUUGUGAAUCUUCACGUGGCAAGAAUUAAGUUUGAUAAGAGUAUUAUUUUCUUCAGAACAAAGUCAUGAAU